rnacentral:rRNA from 1 species
GACGAACGCUGGCGGCGUGCUUAACACAUGCAAGUCGAACGAAGAGCGAUGGAAGCUUGCUUCUAUCAAUCUUAGUGGCGCACGGGUGAGUAACGCGUAAUCAACCUGCCCUUCAGAGGGGGACAACAGUUGGAAACGACUGCUAAUACCGCAUACGAUCUAAUCUCGGCAUCGAGGAUAGAUGAAAGGUGGCCUCUACAUGUAAGCUAUCACUGAAGGAGGGGAUUGCGUCUGAUUAGCUAGUUGGAGGGGUAACGGCCCACCAAGGCGAUGAUCAGUAGCCGGUCUGAGAGGAUGAACGGCCACAUUGGGACUGAGACACGGCCCAGACUCCUACGGGAGGCAGCAGUGGGGAAUCUUACGCAAUAGACGAAAGUCUGACGGAGCAACGCCGCGUGAGCGAUGACGGCCUUCGGGUUGUAAAGCUCUGUUAAUCGGGACGAAAGGCCUUCUUGCGAAUAGUGAGAAGGAUUGACGGUACCGGAAUAGAAAGCCACGGCUAACUACGUG